CGCUGGCGGCGUGCCUAACACAUGCAAGUCGAACGAGGUCCAUCCUUCGGGAGAAGACCUAGUGGCGAACGGGUGAGUAACACGUGAAGAACCUGCCCCGAAGACCGGGAUAACCCUCCGAAAGGAGAGCUAAUACCGGAUACCCCCACCGAACCGCAUGGUUUGGUGAGGAAAUGGAUUCCGCUUCGGGAGGGCUUCGCGGCCUAUCAGCUAGUUGGUGGGGUAACGGCCCACCAAGGCAUCGACGGGUAGCUGGUCUGAGAGGACGAUCAGCCACACUGGGACUGAGACACGGCCCAGACUCCUACGGGAGGCUGCAGUGGGGAAUCUUGCGCAAUGGGCGAAAGCCUGACGCAGCAACGCCGCGUGGGGAUGAAGGCUCUCGGGUUGUAAACCCCUUUCAGCAGGGACGAAUCAAGACGGUACCUGCAGAAGAAGCCCCGGCUAACUACGUG
rnacentral:rRNA from 1 species